rnacentral:rRNA from 1 species
UACGUAGGGUCCGAGCGUUGUCCGGAAUUACUGGGCGUAAAGAGCUCGUAGGUGGUUUGUCGCGUUGUUCGUGAAAACUCACAGCUCAACUGUGGGCGUGCGGGCGAUACGGGCAGACUGGAGUACUGCAGGGGAGACUGGAAUUCCUGGUGUAGCGGUGGAAUGCGCAGAUAUCGGGAGGAACACCGGUGGCGAAGGCGGGUCUCUGGGCAGUAACUGACGCUGAGGAGCGAAAGCGUGGGGAGCGAACAGG